rnacentral:rRNA from 1 species
AUUGAACGCUGGCGGCAGGCCUAACACAUGCAAGUCGAACGAGUGGCGGACGGGUGAGUAUUGUCUGGGAACCUGCCUGCCGUAGGGGGAUGACUGCUGGAAAAGGUAGCUAAUACCGCAUACCCUCAUAUGGGCCCAGAUGGGAUUAGCUAGUGGGUGUGGUAACGGCUGACCAAGGCGACCAUCCCUAGCUGGUCUGAGAGGCUGAGCAGCCACACUGGAACUGAGACACGGUCCAGACUCCUACGGGAGGCAGCAGUGGGGAAUAUUGCACAAUGGGCGCAAGCCUGAUGUAGCCAUGCCGCGUGUAUGAAGAAGGCCUUCGGGUAGUAAAGUACUGUUAGUGGGGAAGCGGUACCCGCAGAAGAAGCACCGGCUAACUCCGUGCCAGCAGCCGCGGUAAUUC